rnacentral:rRNA from 1 species
UACCAGCUUGCUGGUAUGAUUAGUGGCGAACGGGUGAGUAAUGCUUAGGAAUCUGCCUAUUAGUGGGGGACAACAUUCCGAAAGGAAUGCUAAUACCGCAUACGUCCUAUGGGAGAAAGCAGGGGAUCGCAAGACCUUGCGCUAAUAGAUGAGCCUAAGUCGGAUUAGCUAGUUGGUGGGGUAAAGGCCUACCAAGGCAACGAUCUGUAGCUGGUCUGAGAGGAUGAUCAGCCACACUGGGACUGAGACACGGCCCAGACUCCUACGGGAGGCAGCAGUGGGGAAUAUUGGACAAUGGGCGAAAGCCUGAUCCAGCCAUGCCGCGUGUGUGAAGAAGGCCUUUUGGUUGUAAAGCACUUUAAGUGGGGAGGAAAAGCUAAUAAUUAAUACCUAUUAGCCCUGACGUUACCCACAGAAUAAGCACCGGCUAACUCUGUGCCAGCAGCCGCGGUAAUACAGAGGGUGCAAGCGUUAAUCGGAAUUACUGGGCGUAAAGCGAGCGUAGGUGGUCAUUUAAGUCAGAUGUGAAAUCCCCGGGCUUAACCUGGGAACUGCAUCUGAUACUGGGUGACUAGAGUAGGUGAGAGGGAAGUAGAAUUCCAGGUGUAGCGGUGAAAUGCGUAGAGAUCUGGAGGAAUACCGAUGGCGAAGGCAGCUUCCUGGCAUCAUACUGACACUGAGGUUCGAAAGCGUGGGUAGCAAACAGGAUUAGAUACCCUGGUAGUCCACGCCGUAAACGAUGUCUACCAGUCGUUGGGUCUCUUGAAGACUUAGUGACGCAGUUAACGCGAUAAGUAGACCGCCUGGGGAGUACGGCCGCAAGGUUAAAACUCAAAUGAAUUGACGGGGGCCCGCACAAGCGGUGGAGCAUGUGGUUUAAUUCGAUGCAACGCGAA